CCAUACAUUUUAAACGUGUGAGUUCACAUCGUGUGUCUCCGAUGUGAUGGUCACGUGGCAUUAAAUGUGUGUGACCCCCGGGCAGAGGGGGGUCGAAAGUAGGGGUUGCAACCAAUCUAGGGGGAAAACUACAAAAUGGGAGCAAAUCAAUAAAUAAUUGGCUGAAAUCGGAGUCAACGGCCUAUGUGGCGUAUAAUAAGUUGAACGUUAAACCUUAAAUGUGUUAGAAGAAGUCAAUUAAGAAAGCUGUUCAACUUUAGCACAAUGCUGUUUUUAAGGCAAGGUUGUCCAAAUUUAGAAAAAUUCUGUUUCUUAUAAGGCAAGACUUAUUUUAAAUGCCUCAACUCAACAUUUCCUAAAAUACAAUUUUAGUUUUUAUCAUAAACAUUAUUUGUUAUAGCAGUAAACAAGAAAGAACAUUAUCUGUUUCAUCAUAAACGUAUAUAAAAGUUAACAUUCAUUCCACAAUAAUAAUUUGAUUAUGUACAUUAUAAGUUUAAUCAAUGUGUACAUUGAAGAAUAACAUGUGGGAUUUGUGGGUGUGUGGUAGUAUUGAUGUUUGGAUAUGUGGAUGUGUAGUGUUUUUAUUAAAAUGUAAUCUACUUGUUAGUUCCCAUUAUGGUAUGCGAAACUAAUUUUCAAAAUCUGCUUUCAACCUGUUGAUCCCAAAAGGUUUACCAAGUGUUUCUAUAAGAUGGAUUUAUCACUACUCUUGUUAAUUAAUACUAACCAAUAGAAAUGAGCCACGUUAUAAAACCUAAAUUUAAAGAUUAAAUUUAACGUGUCUUGAACAGAACACUUGUAUUCUCCCAGUCGUUGGCAUCGUGUAUUGACUUAAUAAUCAAUUAUUAUUAUUUCAUAACAAUCUGAUUAAAAUGAAGUUCGCAGUUCUCCUUCUCGUGGUCCUGGUGUGUCUGUUAAAUCUCAUCGUUGAAUCUGAAAGUUGUUGUAAACUAAAAGGCGGCGAAUGUGACAUACUUACUGAUUGCUGCCCUCCAUAUAGCUGCUGGAGGGACAACUGUGACAACCCAUUAGCAUACAAUACGUAAAAGAGACUUCCAAAGAAAUAAAUCUCGAUCAUUGACAAACGUUUUA